rnacentral:rRNA from 1 species
UUGAUGGACGCAGUCUGAACAUCCAUGCCGCGUGCAGGAAGACGGCCUCUGGGUUGUAAACUGCUUUUAUAUAGGAAGAAACCCCUGGAUGCGUUCGGGGCUGACGGUACUAUAUGAAUAAGGAUCGGCUAACUUCGUGCCAGCAGCCGCGGUAAGACGAAGGAUCCAAGCGUUGUCCGGAUUUACUGGGUUUAAAGGGUGCGUAGGCGGAAAUUUAAGUCAGUGGUGAAAGCCCGCAGCUCAACUGCGGAACUGCCAUUGAAACUGAAUUUCUUGAAUACGGUUGAGGUAGAUAGAAUAUAACAUGUAGCGGUGAAAUGCAUAGAUAUGUUAUAGAAUACCGAUUGCGAAGGCAGUCUACUAAGCCGUCAUUGACGCUGAGGCACGAAAGCGUGGGGAGCGAACAGGAUUAGAUACCCUGGUAGUCCACGCCCUAAACGUUGAUUACUCGCUGUUGGCGAUAAACAGUCAGCGGCUAAGCGAAAGCGUUAAGUAAUCCACCUGGGAAGUACGACCGCAAGGUUGAAACUCAAAGGAAUUGACGGGGGCCCGCACAAGCGGAGGAGCAUGUGGUUUAAUUCGAUGAUACGCGAGGAACCUUACCUGNGCUUAAAUGUCAUGCGACAAUUGCUGAAAAGUGAUCUCCCUUCGGGGCGAAUG